rnacentral:misc_RNA from 1 species
GAAAUGCGAUAAGUAAUGUGAAUUGCAGAAUUCAGUGAAUCAUCGAAUCUUUGAACGCACCUUGCGCUCCUUGGUAUUCCUUGGAGCAUGCCUGUUUGAGUAUCAUGAAAUCUUCAAAGUAAAUCUUUUGUUAACUCAAUUGGUUUCUACUUUGGUAUUGGAGGUCUUUGCAGCUUCACACCUGCUCCUCUUUGUUCAUUAGCUGGAUCUCAGUGUUAUGCUUGGGUCCACUCGGCGUGAUAAGUUAUCUAUCGCUGAGGACACUGUAAAAGGUGGCCAAGGUAAAUGCAGAUGAACCGCUUCUAAUAGUCCAUUGACUUGGACAAUACUUUUAUGAUCUGAUCUCAAAUCAGGUAGGACUACCCGCUGAACUUAAGC